GUAGACGGCGACGAACUGAAGAAGAAACAAGAAUCUUAUGUUUCUAUUCCUUCGGUUAAGCUCGAUUUUAUAAUCUAAAUGCAUUCAAAAGGUGUUUAUGAAGAAUUGUGGAAAAGAUCAUGCUUGAUCUCCAGAUCAUAUUCAAAGGUGAACGCAGCAGCUACAUAGAUUGUUGAAUGAACCAACCCUACAUUAUAUAACCCAUAUUAAAAGUGAACCGGCGGCUUGGCGGAGUAGACCACGAUUCGUAGAAGAGAGCCGUUUUGUCCACCUAUAAGAAGCAGCCAAUGUGGGAUAGCAGUGAAGAACCAGAAUCGCUAAAGCGUUCCUUUUGUUCAGACCAUCCUUCAAAAGGUGUAGAUAACCAGCUCGAUGUAUUAGCCAGGGAAACUUGAAACUAAGUGUCAACUGUAGACUAACGACAACAAGGUGUAUGCCUAGGCAUACCUGAUUUUGUUCACUACAUAUACAAAAUGUAGCAUGAUAAAUUUAUGACAAGUCGCUAUUAACAUA